rnacentral:rRNA from 1 species
UGAGUAACGCGUAGGAAUCUACCCAGUAGCGGGGGAUAAGCCAGAGAAAUUUGGUCUAAUACCGCAUACGCCCUUCGGGGGAAAGCAGGGGAUCUUCGGACCUUGCACUAUUGGAUGAGCCUGCGUGAGAUUAGCUAGUUGGUGAGGUAAUGGCUCACCAAGGCGACGAUCUCUAGCUGGUCUGAGAGGAUGAUCAGCCACACUGGAACUGAGACACGGUCCAGACUCCUACGGGAGGCAGCAGUGGGGAAUAUUGCACAAUGGGCGCAAGCCUGAUGCAGCCAUGCCGCGUGUGUGAAGAAGGCCCUAGGGUUGUAAAGCACUUUCAGCAGUGAGGAAAGGUGCGUAGUUAAUACCUGCGUACUGUGACGUUAACUGCAGAAGAAGCACCGGCUAACUCCGUGCCAGCAGCCGCGGUAAUACGGAGGGUGCGAGCGUUAAUCGGAAUUACUGGGCGUAAAGCGCGCGUAGGUGGAUUGGUCAGUCAGAUGUGAAAGCCCCGGGCUCAACCUGGGAACUGCACCUGAUACUGCCAGUCUAGAAUACGGUA